rnacentral:tRNA from 11 species
UGGUGCAACGGUAGCGCGUAGCACUCCUAAUACUGAGGCUUCGGGUUCGAAUCUC